rnacentral:rRNA from 1 species
UGGGGAAUUUUGCACAAUGGGGGAAACCCUGAUGCAGCGACGCCGCGUGAUUUAGAAGGCCUUCGGGUUGUAAAAAUCUUUUCUAUGGGAAGAAAAUGACAGUACCAUAGGAAUAAGGACCGGCUAAUUACGUGCCAGCAGCCGCGGUAAUACGUAAGGUCCGAGCGUUGUCCGGAAUCAUUGGGCGUAAAGGGUACGUAGGCGGGUAAGCAAGUUAGAAGUGAAAUCCUGUAGCUCAACUACAGUAAGCUUUUAAAACUGCUCAUCUUGAGAUAUGGAAGGGAAAGUGGAAUUCCUAGUGUAGCGGUGAAAUGCGCAGAUAUUAGGAGGAAUACCAGUGGCGAAGGCGACUUUCUGGCCAUAAUCUGACGCUGGGGUACGAAAGCGUGGGUAGCAAACAGA